GUGGUGAUGAAAAAUAAAUUAAUAAUAAAUUAGAUGUGAUAAAUAUGAAAAUUUAUUAUAGAACAAUAGAAUUGCGGACAUUUUGAUUUUAUGUAUAGAAGUCAAAAAUCAAGUCAGUCCGUUAUAUUAAAUAAAGCUUUUAAAAGUAAUUCAAAAGUUUCCGAGCAGACAAAUUUGUGUCAACGCUGAUGCAGAAACCGUCGAGAAAUCUUUUACGACCAGC